GAAAUGCGAUACGUAAUGUGAAUUGCAGAAUUCAGUGAAUCAUCGAGUCUUUGAACGCACAUUGCGCCCUCUGGUAUUCCGGGGGGCAUGCCUGUCCGAGCGUCAUUGCUGCCCUCAAGCACGGCUUGUGUGUUGGGUCGUCGUCCCCGUUCACGGGGACGGGCCCGAAAGGCAGCGGCGGCACUGUCCGAUCCUCGAGCGCAUGGGGCUUUGUCACCCGCUCGACUAGGGUCGGUCAGGCGUCCGCCGGCGUCCCCCAACCAAUUUUCUUAGGUUGACCUCGGAUCAGGUAGGGAUACCCGCUGAACUUAA
rnacentral:misc_RNA from 1 species